AUACGAGGGGUGCAAGCGUUAUUCGGAAUCAUUGGGCGUAAAGGGUGCGUAGACGGCAUACUAAGUCAGUUGUUAAAUCUCUUGGCCUAACCAAGGGCCCGCGACUGAUACUGGUAAGCUAGAGGAUGGAAGAGAGAAGUGGAAUUCUCGGAGUAGCGGUAAAAUGCGUAGAUCUCGAGAGGAACGCCAAUGGCGAAGGCAGCUUCUUGGACCAUAUCUGACGUUGAGGCACGAAAGCGUGGGUAGCAAACAGGAUUAGAAACCCCAGUAGUCC
rnacentral:rRNA from 1 species